CAGUCGUACCGACGGAAAAUCAGCUUUUUGAGUGCGGACUUGUGGGUUUACGUGAGCUUUACGGCCUCGUUGUUUGCAAUGUUCGUUCUUUUUGGGUGUACUUUUUCGUAUGGUUGGCCAAUAUCAGUUUCGAUCGCUAUAAAAUGACCGGCGGAAUGUAGCUUCGAUCUCGUAUUGAAGUGUUAUAGCCUCUGGUAGAUGUGGUGAUUGGGACUGAGGAUUGCAACGAAUACCUUUUUGGGCUAUCCGCCUGAUCUCUGAAAGUUGCUUAGGUGCCGAAAGCGUGCUUACGGUUAUUUAAGUUGACGGUCAAAAGGUUAGAACGUGAUUAUA
rnacentral:rRNA from 1 species